UUGUAACAUGGGCCAGUGCUAAAGGGUCCUGCCCAACAACUACUGACAGGUGCUGUCGGGGCAGGGACCCUUUAGCAUCGGUUCUAAUUACCAA
rfam:Sorghum bicolor cultivar BTx623 chromosome 5, whole genome shotgun sequence.